CACGCCGUAAACGAUGAGUGCUAGGUGUUGGGGGGCAAAGCCCUUCGGUGCCGUCGCAAACGCAAUAAGCACUCCACCUGGGGAGUACGUUCGCAAGAAUGAAACUCAAAGGAAUUGACG
rnacentral:rRNA from 1 species